rnacentral:lncRNA from 1 species
AGGUUAAUUAGUAUUACAUGCUUUUCAGCUGUGAACACAGAAGCUUAGAUCUUGCAAGRUAGUAAUGUUCUUACUUUUGUAUUAAUCACAGUGAAAGCAAAGCUUGCCCACCAACGUGGAGAGGAUUUCAUUGUCCGAAGAAAUUGCCUCAGCAAAAAGGCUGGCAUGGAGAUCUGUGUAGACUCGGACAGGCUCUGCAUUAUCCAUAACAUCAAUACGACAUCUUGCAGAAUUUGAAAUCGCUGCCUUUCUCUCUGAGUUAGUGAAAAAACAAACAAGGUUUGAAAAUACUUUGAGAAAGAGGAUUCGUUUGCCUUCUCGUAGAAAGAUUUUGUUGAGAGAGCUGAAAGCUGAAGCUUGGACCUUUGAAAAAACAGCAAGAAGUGACUCUCUGGGAGCUGCAAGCUGCAAAUAGAAUCUCUGGGAAGCGGAGUUGUCAUUUAAAGACUAUGCAAAUGGUAAUUCCUCAAGAGCUGUGAUGUGAUGAAU